rnacentral:rRNA from 1 species
UACAGAGGGUGCAAGCGUUGUUCGGAAUUAUUGGGCGUAAAGCGCGUGUAGGCGGCUUUGCAAGUCGGGUGUGAAAGCCCUCAGCUCAACUGAGGAAGUGCGCCCGAAACUGCAGAGCUUGAGUGCCGGAGAGGGUGGCGGAAUUCCCCAAGUAGAGGUGAAAUUCGUAGAUAUCGGGAGGAACACCAGUGGCGAAGGCGGCUAUCUGGGCUGAAACUGACGCUGAGGCGCGAAGGCUAGGGGAGCAAACAGG